rnacentral:rRNA from 1 species
AGAGUCCACAUCGACGGGGAGGUUUGGCACCUCGAUGUCGGCUCGUCGCAUCCUGGGGCGGUAGUCGGUCCCAAGGGUUGGGCUGUUCGCCCAUUAAAGCGGCACGCGAGCUGGGUUCAGAACGUCGGGGGACAGUUCGGUCCCUAUCCGUCGCGGGCGCAGGAAAUUUGAGAGGAGCUGUCCUUAGUACGAGAGGACCGGGAUGGACACACCGCUGGUGUACCAGUUGUUCCGCCAGGAGCAUCGCUGGGUAGC